UACAGAGGUCCCGAGCGUUGUUCGGAUUCACUGGGCGUAAAGGGUGCGCAGGUGGGUUGGCAAGUUUGAUGUGAAAGCCCCGGGCUUAACCCGGGAAUGGCAUUGAAUACUGCUGAUCUGGAGGAUUGGAGGGGGGACUGGAAUUCUUGGUGUAGCAGUGAAAUGCGUAGAUAUCAAGAGGAACACCAGUGGCGAAGGCGAGUCCCUGGACAAUACCUGACACUGAGGCACGAAAGCUGGGGGAGCGAACAGG
rnacentral:rRNA from 1 species